GAGUUUGAUCCUGGCUCAGAACGAACGCUGGCGGCAGGCCUAACACAUGCAAGUCGAGCGCGCCUUUCGGGGUGAGCGGCGGACGGGUUAGUAACGCGUGGGAAUAUGCCCAAAGGUACGGAAUAGCCUCUGGAAACGGAGAGUAAUACCGUAUGUGCCCUUCGGGGGAAAGAUUUAUCGCCUUUGGAUUAGCCCGCGUUAGAUUAGGUAGUUGGUGGGGUAAUGGCCGACCAAGCCUACGAUCUAUAGCUGGUUUUAGAGGAUGAUCAGCAACACUGGGACUGAGACACGGCCCAGACUCCUACGGGAGGCAGCAGUGGGGAAUCUUGGACAAUGGGGGCAACCCUGAUCCAGCCAUGCCGCGUGAGUGAUGAAGGCCUUAGGGUCGUAAAGCUCUUUCGCCUGUGAAGAUAAUGACGGUAGCAGGUAAAGAAACCCCGGCUAACUCCGUGCCAGCAGCCGCGGUAAUACAGAGGGGGUUAGCGUUGUUCGGAAUUACUGGGCGUAAAGCGCACGUAGGCGGACCAGAAAGUUGGGGGUGAAAUCCCGGGGCUCAACCCCGGAACUGCCUCCAAAACUAUUGGUCUAGAGUUCGAGAGAGGUGAGUGGAAUUCCAAGUGUAGAGGUGAAAUUCGUAGAUAUUUGGAGGAACACCAGUGGCGAAGGCGGCUCACUGGCUCGAUACUGACGCUGAGGUGCGAAAGUGUGGGGAGCAAACAGGAUUAGAUACCCUGGUAGUC
rnacentral:rRNA from 1 species